GAUGAACGCUGGCGGCGUGCCUAAUACAUGCAAGUCGAGCGAACAGACGAGGAGCUUGCUCCUCUGACGUUAGCGGCGGACGGGUGAGUAACACGUGGAUAACCUACCUAUAAGACUGGGAUAACUUCGGGAAACCGGAGCUAAUACCGGAUAAUAUAUUGAACCGCAUGGUUCAAUAGUUAAAGACGGUUUUGCUUUCACUUAUAGAUGGAUCCGCGCCGCAUUAGCUAGUUGGUAAGGUAACGGCUUACCAAGGCAACGAUGCGUAGCCGACCUGAGAGGGUGAUCGGCCACACUGGAACUGAGACACGGUCCAGACUCCUACGGGAGGCAGCAGUAGGGAAUCUUCCGCAAUGGGCGAAAGCCUGACGGAGCAACGCCGCGUGAGUGAUGAAGGUCUUCGGAUCGUAAAACUCUGUUAUUAGGGAAGAACAAAUGUGUAAGUAACUAUGCACGUCUUGACGGUACCGAAUCAGAAAGCCACGGCUAACUACGUG
rnacentral:rRNA from 1 species